rnacentral:rRNA from 1 species
UACGUAGGGAGCAAGCGUUGUCCGGAAUCAUUGGGCGUAAAGCGCGCGUAGGCGGAUUGUUAAGUCGGGGGUGAAAUCCUGGAGCUCAACUCCAGAACUGCCUUCGAUACUGGCGAUCUCGAGUUCGGGAGAGGUGAGUGGAACUGCGAGUGUAGAGGUGAAAUUCGUAGAUAUUCGCAAGAACACCAGUGGCGAAGGCGGCUCACUGGCCCGGUACUGACGCUGAGGUGCGAAAGCGUGGGGAGCAAACAGGG